AUGAACGCUGGCGGCGUGCCUAAUACAUGCAAGUCGAGCGAACAGAUGAGGAGCUUGCUCCUCUGACGUUAGCGGCGGACGGGUGAGUAACACGUGGAUAACCUACCUAUAAGACUGGGAUAACUUCGGGAAACCGGAGCUAAUACCGGAUAAUAUAUUGAACCGCAUGGUUCAAUAGUGAAAGACGGUUUUGCUGUCACUUAUAGAUGGAUCCGCGCCGCAUUAGCUAGUUGGUAAGGUAACGGCUUACCAAGGCAACGAUGCGUAGCCGACCUGAGAGGGUGAUCGGUCACGCUGGAACUGAGACACGGUCCAGACUCCUACGGGAGGCAGCAGUAGGGAAUCUUCCGCAAUGGGCGAAAGCCUGACGGAGCAACGCCGCGUGAGUGAUGAAGGUCUUCGGAUCGUAAAACUCUGUUAUUAGGGAAGAACAAAUGUGUAAGUAACUAUGCACGUCUUGACGGUACCUAAUCAGAAAGCCACGGCUAACUACGUG
rnacentral:rRNA from 1 species